GGACUUCUCCCAUCAAUACAUGGACGCCUCUGUUGGCCGAUGAAGCAACCGUCGCAAGUUAAGUGCAGGCACUGGCGCAGUAAUCUAGUUCUAAAGUUUUCAACAGCAAACAGUUUUCACGAUUAAUUUAGGAAAUAUUUGAAAAGAAAUGCCUGAUGUUUAGUGAUUAACGAGAGGAUGUGCUGCACAAUCAAAAUUUUUUAUAUGUAACACUUUAUUCAAUCAUUUUAAAAUAUGAAUUCGGAAAAGAUUAAUGAUGGCUCAACAUCACCGACUGGCGCUGCGGAUCGGAAACUGUAAUGAAUUGAUUUGUUUGAUUACGUCGACCAAUCCCGUUAUGCCUGAGCAUCGUUACAAUCUACCAAUCCGGUUGUGACGAAUAAACUGGAUUGCAAUAAUGUUCUGACGUGCGAUAAUCUGGAAAAAUGGCCAACAGGGAAAGGCUUUUAAAUAUUUGCCCAAGAUGUUGCACAGUCAUCAUGAUAGGACUGUUUUCUCUUUUCUACUCAGGAGACGUACUCUAAUCGUAAAAUACCAAAGUUGCAAUAAAUUAAAUUAUUGUCAAAACU